AUUGAACGCUGGCGGCAUGCUUUACACAUGCAAGUCGAACGGUAACAGGCCGCAAGGUGCUGACGAGUGGCGAACGGGUGAGUAAUGCAUCGGAACGUGCCCAGUCGUGGGGGAUAACGCAGCGAAAGCUGCGCUAAUACCGCAUACGAUCUACGGAUGAAAGCGGGGGACCGUAAGGCCUCGCGCGAUUGGAGCGGCCGAUGUCAGAUUAGGUGGUUGGUGGGGUAAAGGCUCACCAAGCCGACGAUCUGUAGCUGGUCUGAGAGGACGACCAGCCACACUGGGACUGGGACACGGCCCAGACUCCUACGGGAGGCAGCAGUGGGGAAUUUUGGACAAUGGGGGCAACCCUGAUUCAGCAAUGCCGCGUGCAGGAAGAAGGCCUUCGGGUUGUAAACUGCUUUUGUACGGAACGAAACGGCUCUGGUUAAUACCUGGGGCUAAUGACGGUACCGUAAGAAUAAGCACCGGCUAACUACGUGCCAGCCGCCGCCGUAACAC
rnacentral:rRNA from 1 species